rnacentral:rRNA from 1 species
GAUGAACGCUGGCGGCGUGCCUAAUACAUGCAAGUCGAGCGAACAGAUGAGGAGCUUGCUCCUCUGACGUUAGCGGCGGACGGGUGAGUAACACGUGGAUAACCUACCUAUAAGACUGGGAUCACUUCGGGAAACCGGAGCUAAUACCGGAUAAUAUAUUGAACCGCAUGGUUCAAUAGUGAAAGACGGUUUUGCUGUCACUUAUAGAUGGAUCCGCGCUGCAUUAGCUAGUUGGUAAGGUAACGGCUUACCAAGGCAACGAUGCGUAGCCGACCUGAGAGGGUGAUCGGCCACACUGGAACUGAGACACGGUCCAGACUCCUACGGGAGGCAGCAGUAGGGAAUCUUCCGCAAUGGGCGAAAGCCUGACGGAGCAACGCCGCGUGAGUGAUGAAGGUCUUCGGAUCGUAAAACUCUGUUAUUAGGGAAGAACAAAUGUGUAAGUAACUAUGCACGUCUUGACGGUACCUAAUCAGAAAGCCACGGCUAACUACGUG